UGUCUUUGGUAAGGAGAGUAAUUUAAAAUGGUGAGGAUGAGCACAAUCUAAAAUGAGGUGAGUAAUCUACGAUGGUGAGGAGGAGAGAAAUGUACGACGGUGAGGAGGAGGAGAGUAAUCUAAAAUGGUGAGGAGGAGAGUAAUCUAAGAUGGUGAGGAGGAGAGUAAUCUAAGACUGUGACGAUGAUGAGAAUAAUCUAAGAUUGUGAGGUGAAGUAGAACAAUCUAAGAUUGUGAGGAGGAUGAGAGUCAUCUAACAUUGUGAUGACGAUGAGAAAAAUCUAAGAUUGUGAGGAGGCUGAGAAUAAUCUAAGAUUGUGAGGAGGCUGAGAAUAAUCUAAGAUUGUGAUGACGAUGAGAAUAAUCUAAGAUUGUGAGGAGGAGGGGAGUAAUCUAAAAUGGUGAUGAGAAGGGUAAUAUGGAGAUGAGGAGAGUAAUAUGGUGAUGAGGAGAGUAAUAUGUUGAUGAGGAGACUAAUAUGGAGGUGAGGAGAGCAAUAUGGCGGUGAGGAGAGUAAUAUGGUGAUGAGGAGACUAAUAUGGAGAUGAGGAGAGUAAUAUGGUGAUGAGGAGAGUAAUAUGGAGACGAGGAGAGUAAUAUGGAGAUGAGGAGAGUAAUAUGGAGAUGAGGAGAGUAAUAUGGCGGUGAGGAGAGUAAUAUGGAGAUGAGGAGAGCAAUAUGGCGGUGAGGAGAGCAAUAUGGAGAUGAGGAGAGUAAUAUGGAGAUGAGGAGAGUAAUAUGGAGAUGAGGAGAGUAAUAUGGAGAUGAGGAGAGUAAUAUGGAGAUGAGGAGAGCAAUAUGGAGAUGAGGAGAGCAAUAUGGAGAUGAGGAGAGUAAUAUGGAGAUGAGGAGAGUAAUAUGGAGAUGAGGAGAGCAAUAUGGAGAUGAGGAGAGCAAUAUGGCGGUGAGGAGAGCAAUAUGGAGAUGAGGAGAGUAAUAUGGAGAUGAGGAGAGUAAUAUGGAGAUGAGGAGAGUAAUAUGGAGAUGAGGAGAGUAAUAUGGAGAUGAGGAGAGUAAUAUGGAGAUGAGGAGAGCAAUAUGGAGAUGAGGAGAGCAAUAUGGCGGUGAGGAGAGUAAUAUGGUGAUGAGGAGAGUAAUAUGGAGAUGAGGAGAGUAAUAAAGAGAAUAGGAGAGCAAUAUGGUGAUGAGGAGAGUAAUAUGGAGAUGAGGAGAGU
rnacentral:lncRNA from 1 species